rnacentral:rRNA from 1 species
AGAAAUGGCUAUGCCACCCUGAACAAAUCCUAUCUCAUCUUAUCUUGGAAUCUAAGCAGGGUUGGGCCUGGUUGUACUUGGAUGGGAGAUUUGCUGAACUGAGAAACAUCUCAU